rnacentral:tRNA from 1 species
GGCGGUGGUCAGACGAUCAUCACGGGAGGCUUUCAACCCUUUUAUCGCGGGUUCGAAUCCUGCUUCCACCGCCG